rnacentral:rRNA from 1 species
GGUUAAGCGACUAAGCGUACACGGUGGAUGCCCUGGCAGUCAGAGGCGAUGAAGGACGUGCUAAUCUGCGAUAAGCGUCGGUAAGGUGAUAUGAACCGUUAUAACCGGCGAUUUCCGAAUGGGGAAACCCAGUGUGAUUCGUCACACUAUCAUUAACUGAAUCCAUAGGUUAAUGAGGCGAACCGGGGGAACUGAAACAUCUAAGUACCCCGAGGAAAAGAAAUCAACCGAGAUUCCCCCAGUAGCGGCGAGCGAACGGGGAGCAGCCCAGAGCCUGAAUCAGUGUGUGUGUUAGUGGAAGCGUCUGGAAAGGCGCGCGAUACAGGGUGACAGCCCCGUACACAAAAAUGCACAUAUUGUGAGCUCGAUGAGUAGGGCGGGACACGUGGUAUCCUGUCUGAAUAUGGGGGGACCAUCCUCCAAGGCUAAAUACUCCUGACUGACCGAUAGUGAACCAGUACCGUGAGGGAAAGGCGAAAAGAACCCCGGCGAGGGGAGUGAAAAAGAACCUGAAACCGUGUACGUACAAGCAGUGGGAGCACGCUUAGGCGUGUGACUGCGUACCUUUUGUAUAAUGGGUCAGCGACUUAUAUUCUGUAGCAAGGUUAACCGAAUAGGGGAGCCGAAGGGAAACCGAGUCUUAACUGGGCGUUAAGUUGCAGGGUAUAGACCCGAAACCCGGUGAUCUAGCCAUGGGCAGGUUGAAGGUUGGGUAACACUAACUGGAGGACCGAACCGACUAAUGUUGAAAAAUUAGCGGAUGACUUGUGGCUGGGGGUGAAAGGCCAAUCAAACCGGGAGAUAGCUGGUUCUCCCCGAAAGCUAUUUAGGUAGCGCCUCGUGAAUUCAUCUCCGGGGGUAGAGCACUGUUUCGGCAAGGGGGUCAUCCCGACUUACCAACCCGAUGCAAACUGCGAAUACCGGAGAAUGUUAUCACGGGAGACACACGGCGGGUGCUAACGUCCGUCGUGAAGAGGGAAACAACCCAGACCGCCAGCUAAGGUCCCAAAGUCAUGGUUAAGUGGGAAACGAUGUGGGAAGGCCCAGACAGCCAGGAUGUUGGCUUAGAAGCAGCCAUCAUUUAAAGAAAGCGUAAUAGCUCACUGGUCGAGUCGGCCUGCGCGGAAGAUGUAACGGGGCUAAACCAUGCACCGAAGCUGCGGCAGCGACGCUGAUGCGUUGUUGGGUAGGGGAGCGUUCUGUAAGCCUGUGAAGGUGUGCUGUGAGGCAUGCUGGAGGUAUCAGAAGUGCGAAUGCUGACAUAAGUAACGAUAAAGCGGGUGAAAAGCCCGCUCGCCGGAAGACCAAGGGUUCCUGUCCAACGUUAAUCGGGGCAGGGUGAGUCGACCCCUAAGGCGAGGCCGAAAGGCGUAGUCGAUGGGAAACAGGUUAAUAUUCCUGUACUUGGUGUUACUGCGAAGGGGGGACGGAGAAGGCUAUGUUGGCCGGGCGACGGUUGUCCCGGUUUAAGCGUGUAGGCUGGUUUUCCAGGCAAAUCCGGAAAAUCAAGGCUGAGGCGUGAUGACGAGGCACUACGGUGCUGAAGCAACAAAUGCCCUGCUUCCAGGAAAAGCCUCUAAGCAUCAGGUAACAUCAAAUCGUACCCCAAACCGACACAGGUGGUCAGGUAGAGAAUACCAAGGCGCUUGAGAGAACUCGGGUGAAGGAACUAGGCAAAAUGGUGCCGUAACUUCGGGAGAAGGCACGCUGAUAUGUAGGUGAAGUCCCUCGCGGAUGGAGCUGAAAUCAGUCGAAGAUACCAGCUGGCUGCAACUGUUUAUUAAAAACACAGCACUGUGCAAACACGAAAGUGGACGUAUACGGUGUGACGCCUGCCCGGUGCCGGAAGGUUAAUUGAUGGGGUCAGCGCAAGCGAAGCUCUUGAUCGAAGCCCCGGUAAACGGCGGCCGUAACUAUAACGGUCCUAAGGUAGCGAAAUUCCUUGUCGGGUAAGUUCCGACCUGCACGAAUGGCGUAAUGAUGGCCAGGCUGUCUCCACCCGAGACUCAGUGAAAUUGAACUCGCUGUGAAGAUGCAGUGUACCCGCGGCAAGACGGAAAGACCCCGUGAACCUUUACUAUAGCUUGACACUGAACAUUGAGCCUUGAUGUGUAGGAUAGGUGGGAGGCUUAGAAGUGUGGACGCCAGUCUGCAUGGAGCCGACCUUGAAAUACCACCCUUUAAUGUUUGAUGUUCUAACGUUGACCCGUAAUCCGGGUUGCGGACAGUGUCUGGUGGGUAGUUUGACUGGGGCGGUCUCCUCCUAAAGAGUAACGGAGGAGCACGAAGGUUGGCUAAUCCUGGUCGGACAUCAGGAGGUUAGUGCAAUGGCAUAAGCCAGCUUGACUGCGAGCGUGACGGCGCGAGCAGGUGCGAAAGCAGGUCAUAGUGAUCCGGUGGUUCUGAAUGGAAGGGCCAUCGCUCAACGGAUAAAAGGUACUCCGGGGAUAACAGGCUGAUACCGCCCAAGAGUUCAUAUCGACGGCGGUGUUUGGCACCUCGAUGUCGGCUCAUCACAUCCUGGGGCUGAAGUAGGUCCCAAGGGUAUGGCUGUUCGCCAUUUAAAGUGGUACGCGAGCUGGGUUUAGAACGUCGUGAGACAGUUCGGUCCCUAUCUGCCGUGGGCGCUGGAGAACUGAGGGGGGCUGCUCCUAGUACGAGAGGACCGGAGUGGACGCAUCACUGGUGUUCGGGUUGUCAUGCCAAUGGCAUUGCCCGGUAGCUAAAUGCGGAAGAGAUAAGUGCUGAAAGCAUCUAAGCACGAAACUUGCCCCGAGAUGAGUUCUCCCUGACUCCUUGAGAGUCCUGAAGGAACGUUGAAGACGACGACGUUGAUAGGCCGGGUGUGUAAGCGCAGCGAUGCGUUGAGCUAACCGGUACUAAUGAACCGUGAGGCUUAACCUU